AGCAGUGGGGAAUAUUGCGCAAUGGGCGAAAGCCUGACGCAGCGACGCCGCGUGAGGGAUGAAGGUCUUCGGAUUGUAAACCUCUUUCAGCAGGGACGAAGCGAAAGUGACGGUACCUGAAGAAGAAGCACCGGCUAACUACGUGCCAGCAGCCGCGGUAAUACGUAGGGUGCAAGCGUUGUCCGGAUUUAUUGGGCGUAAAGAGCUCGUAGGCGGUUAGACACGUCGGAUGUGAAAACUGGGGGCUCAACCCCCAGCCUGCAUUCGAUACGGUCUGACUAGAGUGUGGUAGGGGUAACUGGAAUUCCUGGUGUAGCGGUGAAAUGCGCAGAUAUCAGGAGGAACACCGAUGGCGAAGGCAGGUUACUGGGCCACCACUGACGCUGAGGAGCGAAAGCGUGGGGAGCAAACAGGAUUAGAUACCCUGGUAGUCCACGCCGUAAACGGUGGGCGCUAGAUGUGGGGACCAUUCCAUGGUUUCUGCGUCGCAGCUAACGCA
rnacentral:rRNA from 1 species